rnacentral:rRNA from 1 species
GAUCUCCCUCGGGGGAAGCAGGGGAUCUUCGGACCUUGCGCUAUGAUAGCCUAGUAGAUUAGCUAGUUGGUGGGGUAAAGGCCUACCAAGGCGACGAUCUGUAGCGGGUCUGAGAGGAUGAUCCGCCACACUGGGACUGAGACACGGCCCAGACUCCUACGGGAGGCAGCAGUGGGGGAUAUUGGACAAUGGGCGAAAGCCUGAUCCAGCCAUGCCGCGUGUGUGAAGAAGGCCUUUUGGUUGUAAAGCACUUUAAGCGAGGAGGAGGCUACUGAGAUUAAUACUCUUGGAUAGUGGACGUUACUCGCAGAAUAAGCACCGGCUAACUCUGUGCCAGCAGCCGCGGUAAUACAGAGGGUGCGAGCGUUAAUCGGAUUUACUGGGCGUAA